rnacentral:rRNA from 1 species
GUAGAGUAGUUUCGAUCCGUGGCUACGAGGACACGCUGGCGGCGUGCCUAAUACAUGCAAGUCGAGCCGGGGUUUUGCGGGAGCUUGCUUCUGCGGAGCCUAGCGGCGGACGGGUGAGUAACACGUAGGCAACCUGCCCGUAAGACCGGGAUAACAUAGGGAAACUUAUGCUAAUACCGGAUAGGGGUUUCUUCUCGCAUGAGGGGAAACGGAAAGGUGGCGCAAGCUACCACUUGCGGAUGGGCCUGCGGCGCAUUAGCUAGUUGGUGAGGUAACGGCUCACCAAGGCGACGAUGCGUAGCCGACCUGAGAGGGUGACCGGCCACACUGGGACUGAGACACGGCCCAGACUCCUACGGGAGGCAGCAGUAGGGAAUUUUCCACAAUGGGCGAAAGCCUGAUGGAGCAACGCCGCGUGAACGAGGAAGGCCUUCGGGUUGUAAAGUUCUGUUGUCAGGGACGAAUAAGUGCCGUUCGAACAGGGCGGUACCUUGACGGUACCUGACGAGGAAGCCACGGCUAACUACGUG